rnacentral:rRNA from 1 species
CGGGUGAGUAAUGCCUAGGAAUCUCUGCCUGGUAGUGGGGGAUAACGUCCGGAAACGGGCGCUAAUACCGCAUACGUCCUGAGGGAGAAAGUGGGGGAUCUUCGGACCUCACGCUAUCAGAUGAGCCUAGGUCGGAUUAGCUAGUUGGUGGGGUAAAGGCCUACCAAGGCGACGAUCCGUAACUGGUCUGAGAGGAUGAUCAGUCACACUGGAACUGAGACACGGUCCAGACUCCUACGGGAGGCAGCAGUGGGGAAUAUUGGACAAUGGGCGAAAGCCUGAUCCAGCCAUGCCGCGUGUGUGAAGAAGGUCUUCGGAUUGUAAAGCACUUUAAGUUGGGAGGAAGGGCAGUAAGUUAAUACCUUGCUGUUUUGACGUUAUCAACAGAAUAAGCACCGGCUAACUUCGUGCCAGCAGCCGCGGUAAUACGAAGGGUGCAAGCGUUAAUCGGAAUUACUGGGCGUAAAGCGCGCGUAGGUGGUUCAGCAAGUUGGAUGUGAAAUCCCCGGGCUCAACCUGGGAACUGCAUCCAAAACUACUGAGCUAGAGUACGGUAGAGGGUGGUGGAAUUUCCUGUGUAGC